GGACUACACGGGUUUCUAAUCCCAGCCGCGACCCACGCUUUCGUGUUUCAGCGUCAGGAGCGGUCCAGUCUCUUGCCUUCGCUUUUGGUGUUCCCCUAGAUAUCAACGCAUUUCACCGCUACACCUAGAGUUCCAGAGACCCCUACCGUCCUCAAGCAAUGCCGUUUCCCGCGCAGCCUCUCGGUUGAGCCGAAAGAUUUAACGCGAGACUAACAUCGCCGCCUACACACCCUUUACGCCCAAUGAUUCCGGAUAACGCUUGAAGCACUCGUAUUACCGCGGCGGCUGGCAC
rnacentral:rRNA from 1 species